CCUACGGGAGGCAGCAGUAAGGAAUAUUGGACAAUGCUCGCAGGAGUGAUCCAGCCAUGCCGCGUGCAGGAAGAAUGCCCUAUGGGUAGUAAACUGCUUUUGAACUAGAGAAAAUCCCAGUACGUGUACUGGGCUGAUAGUAUAGUUAGAAUAAGCAUCGGCUAACUUCGUGCCAGCAGCCGCGGUAAGACGAAGGAUGCAAGCGUUAUCCGGAUUCAUUGGGUUUAAAGGGAGCGUAGGUGGACUGAUAAGUCAGUGGUGAAAUCUCCGAGCUUAACUCGGAAAUUGCCAUUGAUACUGUUGGUCUUGAGUACAGUUGCUGUGGGCGGAAUAUGACAUGUAGUGGUGAAAUACAUAGAGAUGUCAUAGAACACCGAUUGCGAAGGCAGCUCACAAAGCUGUAACUGACACUGAGGCUCGAAAGUGCGGGGAUCAAACAGGAUUAGAUACCCUGGUAGUCCGCACCGUAAACGAUGAUUACUCGCUGCUAGGGGGCAACCUUUAGUGGCUUAGCGAAAGCGAUAAGAAUCCACCUGGGGAGUACGCCGGCAACGGUGAAACUCAAAGGAAUUGACGGCGNGAGAGNGCGACGGACGACGACGAGGGAGGAGG
rnacentral:rRNA from 1 species